rnacentral:tRNA from 1 species
CGGCUCCGCGGUGGGCAAGGGCGGCGCCGGCGGCGCUGGCGGCGCCGGCGGGCAGUUCGGUGUCGGCGGGGCCGGC